AUGGGCACAUUGCCUGAAGCGGACGCGCCGGAAAUGCCUGUCUCGAUUCCUGGGUGACCACGGAUGUACUGGCACAAUCAGAAUCGAGAGUAGAAAAGGUCGGGCUUGCCCGGCCUUUUUGUAU
rnacentral:sRNA from 1 species